rnacentral:rRNA from 1 species
UCUGCUCAAUGAUUUUUUAAAUUGCUGUGGUAUUUUGACUAUACAAAGGUAUUGUAAUAAGAUUUUAAUUGAGUGCUAAGAGAAUGGAUUUACAAAAAAAAUCUUUUUUAAAUUUAAAAAUUUAAGUUAUUUUUAUUUGUGAAGAAACAAUAAUAAAAAUUAAAGACAAGAAGACCCUAUGAAUUUUUAUAACCUUUUUGAAAAAUUUUUUAAAAAGGUUAUUUAAUUGGGGCGAUUUAAAAAAAUAAUAAACUUUUUAUUUUAAAUAUGAUCCAUUAAUAAUGAUUUUAUGCAAAAAAUACUCUAGGGAUAACAGCGU